ACAGUCGGUUGCUCCCGGCACCAAGGCCGCAGGCGGCGGUCGGUGCAGGGCGCCCCGCUGGCGUAGUAGUCCAUCCCGCGCAGACAGUAGUGGCGGCCCGAGCAAGCACUUUCGUAACCAUGGAAGGGCAGGCGGCCGGGCAGCGGGUCCACGCACCCGCAUCGGGGCGUGAUCCGCGGCAGCUGCUGGUUCCGCGACAGUGAGUUCAGCAUGUUCACCAUCACUUCGCGCUCUGCUCCCGCGGGUCCCCAGCGCAGGAGACCCAAAGACAGAUGCACAGGGAUGGGAAGAGGCCGAGUCACGGACAGAGUGAGGCGGAGACAAAAGCCAGGACGGAUAGAUUCAGGGUUCCACCCUCUCCAGGACCCUCGGCCUCCUCCCCGUCCUUCAGCCUGAAGUCAGUGGCUGGCAUCAGGAAGCAGAACUGGACAUGAAGUGGGGAAGAGCAAGGACAAACUGGAACUCAUGAGGAGAACAAAGUCGAAUUUGCAUCUGUCUCACUGCCUACAACAAUGAUGAUAUGGAUGGCCUUCAGGACAAGCUGGUGCCCUUUGCCAUGGAAUUGUACAUACACCUGGCCCAGGACCCAGAGAGGUUGAAGGAGAUCCAGUGGGAGCUAGAGGGGUUGUAGCCAAAUGCUGCUCUAUGGCAAUAAGGUGAACUACUAAAUCAGCAACAUUGUGCAUAAGGUGCCACAGUGCUUGGUACCCCACGUCAAUCUUCAGAGGGUAAAAAUGGCUGUUCUUUCAUUUAUUCUUUCCAAAUAUCAUGCAGAUUUCUCUCAUGGCCAAUUAGGAAACAUUUAGGAAAGGGAAUUCUUGCAAGUAUAGUUCCAGCUAGUUGACAGUACAAAACUAUGUCUUAUGCUCUCUUUAGAACAAUGGGAGAAUCUAGGAACACCUAACUCUGUCCUGUUCCAACUUAAAUGAUAGUUUUGUAAUAUUUUAGUUCUUCCUUUAAAUAUUACAGAUUAAAAGCCAUUAUAAUUAUUUUCUAUAGAUAACGUUUGCUUAAAUUUACCUCAUGUUUAUCAGUUCCUUACCAUUCCUUCUUGCAUCUCAGACUUUCCUUCUGUGAUCAUUUUCCUUCUCCCCAGAGUAUAUCCUUUAGAAGUUCCUUUAUUGUAUAUAGACCUGAGGGUAAUAAACAUUUUCAUUGUUUUCCUGUAAAUGUCUUAUCUUUCCUUGGUUUUUGAAAGGAUGACACUUCGAGAAUUUUUUUUCUUUGUCUGUUUUUAAGGUCAUCUCUUAAGCUGGUGAACUGCAGUUUCAUUGUGAGGUGCCUAACUGUGGAAUUUCUUCUAUUUUUUUUCUCUAUUUGUGGAUUCAUUUAUUUUGUUAGUUCUGGAAAAUUCUGAG
rnacentral:lncRNA from 1 species